GAGUCUUCCUUCUCUGCGUGAGAUCCGAGAGAGAGCGAAGGGAAGGGUAGGGAGACAGCGGCGGAGGCAGCGGCGGUGGGAAACGAAGGCGGCGACGACGUCUUGCGAAGGAGACCGGUGGACUGACGCCAGGUAGAAAUCGACCGACGGGAGGGCUUUGCCCCUUUUCUCUUCACGGUGGGUGAGGCGAUGAAUAGGGAAGAGAACAAAGAAGAAAGGGAACGACCCUUCUUCUUCGGAGUGCGUGCCGUGCGACGAUCCUCCGUGCGUUCCGGCGUUUGCGGUGCAAAUGCUCUAGCAAAAUACAGAUGAGGAAAAGGCCGAAAAGGAAUCGGCGGGGGUCCGUCCAUAAACUGGAUCCCUCGACUUUAGCAACAGAGGCAAAGUCAGCCCUGCUCUGAUACCAAAGCUGAUGCAGGACGGAUGUAAGGGAUGGAAGGCAGCGUGAAAGAAUAGAAGAAGAGGGGAAGAAGAAGAAAAGAGGAGAGGGGGAGGAAGAAGAAGAAGGCUAAUUUUCUUGCAUUCAUUCCUUAAAAAUAAACAAAUGCAUGCCCUAUAUAUAUAUAGGGCCACCAAAUAACAAAUAAGUCCCAACGAAGAAAACAAUUCGAAAGAGGUCCUCAAAAGACAAUAUGCAAAUUAAUCCUACCCACAUAAAAUAAAUAAUAAAAAAUAACAUCAAUCAAUCCAGCCACAACGAAAGUGGCUGGACCGUCUUCCUGCGACAACCAUGAUUCCGCAAAAUAAUCAGUCCAGUACUCGUGUCCGCACCAGAAUUGCACCAUAUAGACCAAGUAAAAUGAAAUGGAGAAGUGAGAAACUACCUU
rnacentral:lncRNA from 1 species